GCAGGCAUCUUCUCAGCCUACAUGUGGAUUCUUAAAUCUGCAGGCUGGUUAGAUGGUUGUC
rnacentral:pre_miRNA from 2 species